rnacentral:lncRNA from 1 species
AGAGCUUCUCGUAUUCGGAACUCGCCCGGGCAACCACCAACUUUGCGCCAGAACAAAAGCUAGGAAGAGGAGGAUUCGGAGACGUUUACAGAGGAACCUUAACCCAGCCGAAAAUGGUGGUAGCCAUCAAGAGAGUGGCAAAAGACUCGAGGCAGGGAAAGGAGUAUGUCGCCGAGGUGAAGGUCAUCAGCCGCGUGCGCCACCGCAACCUCGUGCAGCUCGUGGGGUGGUGCCACGAGAAGGGGGACCUGCUUCUCGUCUAUGAGUACAUGCCCAACGGCAGCCUCGACGCCCACCUCUACGGCGGCGGUAGUCCUCUGUCGUGGCCGACGAGGUACAGCAUCGCUCGGGGUGUCGCGGCGGCGCUGCUUUACCUCCACGAAGAGUCGGAGCAGUGCGUGGUGCACAGGGACGUCAAGUCGAGCAAUGUGAUGCUGGACACCAAUUUCAACGCCAAGUUAGGGGAUUUCGGCCUUGCGAGGCUCGUGGACCACGGCGGCGGCAUGGAGACGACGGCCGUGGCUGGGACGAUGGGGUACCUGGCGCCGGAAACCGCGACGACGGGUAGGGCGAGCAAGGAGUCGGACGUCUACAGCUUCGGGGUGCUGGCCUUGGAGAUCGCCUGCGGGAGGAGACCCAUCGAUUACGGCAAUAAAGAGGAUCGGGUUAGUCUCGUUGACUGGGUUUGGGAUCUCUACGGGAAGGGCGCCGUUUUGGAGGGGGCGGACGAGAAGCUGGGCUCGGACUACAACCGGCAGGAGAUGGAGCGGCUGAUGGUGGUGGGGCUGUGCUGCGCCCACCCGGACCACCUGCAACGGCCGUCGAUGCGGCAGGUGAUUGGCAUUCUUCUUUUCGAAAUGCCAUUGCCAAAUCUUCCGGUCCAGAUGCCGGAGCCGUCCUACGGAGGGGUUUCCGUUUCUAGGUCCAACCUGGCCACCAUCAACGGGUGGUCGUCGCCUCCGUCGAUUCAGCUGGCUUCCACUGACAGCAAACCACUUCCGUAUCCGCCCGUCAGGUAAAGCCAUCAGAUUCAACGUUUUCGUUUUAUUCUUCGAUUUACUCUUGGCUUGUCUUUUUAGGCGGUCGUCGCAUUAACGGGUCCAGCGACUGGGCUGACCAUUUCUCACCAAAACGGCCGUCGACCGACAGAUCUCAGUGCACGCUCCAACUCUCCCAUUAACAACCACUCGGUCCUUAGAGGUGUUAAUAAGUAGAACCUCUCUUCUCUACUUCAGUGUACUAUUUGACAGUUGUGAAGAGAAGUUCAACGUAGAUAUCUAAGGGCCUAAUCGAAGUUUUGAAGGCCAUGAUUAGAUAUCUAUUUUCUGAGUUCUUGAUGAGAGUUUUCUUGUGAUCUUAUCAUAUCUAACUAAAGCUUUCGUCAUUGUUUUUCGUAGACAAAAGAAGAGGUAUAUGGAACCAUGUUAAAGUGUUUUAUGCUAGUACCCUAUUAUGAGUUGAUCACAUCAUGUAGAUUGCAUAAACAAUAUUUUGCUAGUACCCUACUAUGGGUUUUGUUCACCUAUUUUUUUUGCUUUAUUUCAUUACUCCUAGGUGAGUUCAUGACUCCUCCACACCUUUCACUAGAACAUGGACCAGAUCUGCAUAAUCGACUAAGAGAGGAGAUCAAUUCAACCUGUCUAAGUUUAUCUUUUCUUUCAUAUCAGCUUUUAGGUGGCUGUGACUCCCAACUCUCUCUAGUGUAAGAGGAUUCCUCUCGUUUACCCUUAAAAUUCACAGGCAACACUACUGCGGAUUUGAGUUUGGCAAGAAGUGAACUCGAUGAGCUCCAAAAGAGUAAAAGGAAAAUAUGUUGUAAGUAGGGAGAAAGUACGUCCAGAUAUGGAGGAGAAGAGGGCUGGAAUAGAGGAUGGACGGGAGUUCGUGGAACAAAAUAAGCCCUCAAAAUCAAAUUUCUUGAGUUGUUUACAACCAAAUAGAGAGGGUUUUAUCUGAAGGUAGAGAACUUAAUUCAAAAUUGAUUAAAAACAAAAAAAAGAAGGAAGAGACUAAAACUCAUGAUUUCUAGAUAUUAAUAUGCAUACUCAACUAUAAACUCAUGAGAUGCAGUUAGGAAUCUAACUUAAUGUUUUCCUUCAAACUAGUUACAUUGAUAUUGAUGAUAUUUCUCAAUUGUUGUCCUUACAUGGCAUCUAAAGAUGCUGCAUUAACAUGAAGCCGUACCUAGGUCAAUACAUACAUUUUAACAAUAUGGGAAUUUUUUUUAUUAAAGUCAAUACCUUUCUCUUUGCAUAAACCUUUCACAACUAAUUUAGUCUUGUACUUUAGAUGUAAAGGUUAUCAUUGAGUCUUCAGCUUGAAAGUUCAUUUGUUCUCUAUGGCUUUCAUCCCCUUUGAUAGUUAUACUAGAUCAUGUAUGUGGUUUUUCUACAAUGCCUCCAUUUCUUCACACAUUGCUACUAGCCACUUAAUUUUAAGCUCAAUUUCAACUACCUUUCGGUAACUAUCUAGUUCGCCUACAUCAGUAAGUAUAAUAUAUUUACCUAGAGGAUGAAUUUUAGAAGGUUUUAUAUGAUCCAAGAAAAAUUAUAGAUGAGUCUUCAUGGGAGAAUGUUCCUUCACUUCUCCAUGCUCAUCAUGUUGAUAGACUCCUAAGUACCCAAGUCCCUUGUCGCCAGAAACGGAGCAAAAGAAAGGAACGGAUUGCCAGAGCGGAAGACCAGCGCCCAACAUGAGUAAGUUUUGGGCCAGAAAUGAUGGGCCCAGAUGGAGGGCUUGGGCUGGUUAAGGCCUGACCAGUCAACAGCCAACUGUCACAGCGACAGUUUAAAUACUAGAGCAAGAGAUCGAGCGGGAGGAGAGAAAAAUCAAGAUUCUUCUACCCCAUCUGCCUCGACGUUUCACUCUGUCUGUCUGUCUGUCUGUCUCUCUCUCUCUCUCUCUCUCCCUCUCUCUCUCUCUGUUUCGCUCUCUAUUUCUCUCUCUCUUUCUUUCGUCAUGAUCUCGGCUAGAUCUGCUGUUCAUCAACAUCCUUGCUGCCUGAUCCUUUACCUCCUUCUGCAUUGUCUUUCCGGAGUUCGGAAAUGAUUGCUCUCGAGAUCAGGAACUAGUAAUUCUUGCAUUUCAAGAAAUUGAGAAAGGUGAUUGCGUACGUAAUACUUCUUCUUGUUCUCUGAAAUUCUUGUGUCUAAAAUCUUAAUAUCUUAUUUUGAGUAAAUUUCUUGAUAUCCUUCUGUUCUAUCUUUGAAUCAUUGGUUGAACUUCAACCGUUCCCUCCAAAUUUAUAUUGAUUGUGAGGAAUAUAAAAAAAGGAGAUCCUAUCACAUGUCUUAUAGGCAAGUUUGCAUCAAUUUCACUUAUAUCAUGUCCAUAGUAUUAGAAAGGCAGCAGCUGGAUGACGGGCAGCGGUGGAAAUAGUCGGACGGAAGAAGUGGUGGCAGAUGGAUAUUGGCCCUCAGGACCUCUCCUUCGGAGCGAAGAUGGUUGACCCUCACGGCCUCUCCCUCAUGGAGCAGACACAAGUAGUUCCUCAGAAUAAUCUCUUAUCUGGAGAUGGUCGCAAGACCUCGCCGCUCCUAGUUAGAAGCUCCACCUUUGUCUCUAUCUGGUCGUUGUCGCCAUCUGUCGUCGCCUCCACCACUGCCUUCGCUGCCACCGCCAUCUUCCUCGUCUUCUGCCGUCGUCUUCUUCCUCGUCGUCCACCACCAUAGGGGCGCGAGACAACUCUCUCUAAGGAGCUCGGCAAAAUAGCCCCGUAACUUCGGGAGAAGGGGUGCCUCCUCACAAAGGGGGUUGCAGCGACCAGGCCUGGGCGACUGCCGCCACUAUUUUGUAUAUGUCCGCUUCGGCCUCCGACACUCUUGGUCCGCCACUAUCUCUACCUUCAUUGCCGUCGCCUCCAUCCCGUCGCCGACCACCUCAUCGCCGCCGCCGGCUGUCCAAGAUCAACCCCAUUCUGUCGUCGCCGCCACCAUCCCUUCCCGCUUCUUCCACUGCCAUUGUCGCCCUUCCCAACCUUUGUUCCUCUGGUGAUCUGUUCCGCCGGUUUCUUUCCCAAUUAGGGCUUAAAGGCCCCGAUUCGUGGGUCCCAAUCUACUGGUUGAACUCGUUCGGUGAUCUCGACCAGGCCACCCUCCGAUGCGAGCCCCAUUGGUCUGAACGAACCCGCCACAGGUUCGAGCCAACGUGGACAAUUGGGUCCACGUCGUUCUCCCGCGCCAGGCCGAGCCAUUCUGACCAUCUGGUCCACGUCGGGCAUCCCGUCCAGCUGGAGCCAAGACUCAAUCAAAUUUCUACGACAUAGUGAAUGAUCAAUUAUCUAGGCAACGGUCAACAGCGUGGUCAAAAGUCAACUAUUAAUAUUCUGCAACCAAUAGUCUCUCUUCUCAGUCCUUUCCAAGGUAAGUAGUUCUCACGCAUCAUAUAUCUCUGCUCAUUUAAUAUAUUCUUAUUGCGAUUGUCCGAGGGUGACUAUAGUGUAACCAUAUGUUUCUGAGUUUAAUGAGCAUAGUAUAACGACUGGUGACUUUUCUGAGCUACCCGAUCACGGCUGUCCUUGUAGAAACACAGCCGUCACGAGGGCCCUCGGCCGUCAACCUUGUGGGAAGAAAUGUACCCGUCAGACCUCAGCUUUCCUCCUGCCCGUGGACAGCGUAGAGGUCAACGUGGACAGGCCACAUGCACUGAAUGCAAUUAAACGUGUUUAAACAUUGUACCCCGUCAGUCUUCAUUUUUGUAAAGAUUUCAAGGAUCUUCCAUGGAAAAUCUAAAAGCUCAACGAAUUAUCUUUGAUGCGAAGUGGAAGUGAAAAGGAUCGAGUAGUUUAAGAAAACCAUUUGAUGUAGAAUGCUCAACGAUUUUAUAGUUCAGAAAAUGUUUAAUACCACAGUUUAACAAUACACUGAAUAUGUAAAGUGGCUAUCGUAUGAUCUCUCAACCCACUAUAACAAGAAAGUAUAUUAAAUGAACAAAUGAAAUAGAGAAAUAAGAAGAUAUACUUGAACAUUGAAAAUAACGGUUGACCAUUGACCAAUAUAUUUGACCUUUUAUCUGUUUACCGAUGACUUGUCCUUGUUGACGGUUGACUGUGGAUGACCAAUCAGCUGCAGCGGCUCACAGCUAAGGGGUGGACCUGACUUGGUCCCAGUGGCUGGAUGGCUUUCGCCAGACGGUUUGGAUCGCGGCUGGCUAAAAGGUGUAAGUGUUGGUGGGCGGCUGGAAAUGGGCCAGGUAAAAUCAAGCCCUAGCCGUAAGAGGAGGGGCCAUCAGGAGGCGGCGGGAGAGGGGAAAGAGGGGUCGGUGGCGACGGCAGGCGGAGGCUGCAGCCGGUGGCGAGGGGAUGGCAGGCAGCGGCGGGCGGCGGAAAGGUGAGAGCUGGCGGCAAGGCCAUGGCUGGUAGCGGCAGGCGGUGGCAGGCGUCGGGAAGACGACGGCUGGCGGUGGCGGGAGGUAAUGGCGGCGAGCAGUGGCCGGCAGCGACGGGCGGAGGAUGAUGCGACUGGAAGGUGGUGGCGAUGCAGGCCGCGGCGGUACAAUGGCGAUAGAAGAAAGGGAAGGUGGGGGAGGGAAUGGUGCUCCAGACCAAGAGUGGCGGGGUCCUCUGACCAACCCAAGCCGGGGUGACGGGAUCUUACGAUCAGUUAAGAUAAGGAACUAAUCCUCAAAACUCCAUUUUUAAUUCUCCUUAAAUCAAAGGUCUGAAGGCCGAUUUAUAAGCCUUUCUACAGUGAAAUCUUAGUCAGUCAAUAAUGAAGGAAAUCUUCUAUUGCAAGGCAUUUGUUUUGAUGGCUUAAUCGGCGCGUAGCCGGAUCAAGGGCGUCGUCCACACCUUCUAUGUUGGUCAUUCCCCCAAUUUGAUUCAAAUCACCUUCCUUGAUCAAGAGAUGGUUUGGGCGCGCUGCAUCAAUCCCCCACCGCAAAAAGCGGUCCUCGUGGCCACGGCAGGGUUGGUUGGUGAUCCUCACCGUCCUUCCGGGAAAAGACCUCGCGACUUACCCCUUGUCCCCUUCGAGGACGAUGGAACCUUCGUGUGGCGGCUCCGGUAGGUCAACUUGGGGCUGGAUGGUCGCCGCCUUUCUUGAAAGCCUCACCGGAACACGCGUAGACCGAAGCGAUUAUCGCUUCAUUAUUUAGGGGCGCCGCCACCCACUCGCCCAUCAGGAGGAGCGCUCGAAUUUAAUAAACGAGCGGUUACUGUCACGAUAACAAGGCCGAGAACUUACAAAAUGUUUCAUAGCCAGAGUGCCGUGACGGCUUUCGCACCUUACAGCGGCCUUGUGGAGGCCCCAACCCACCUCCACGGAAAUCAUCGUUGAGCCAUGCCGCCGGGCGCCUCCAUCGCCUCUUUGCUCCUCCUGCUCGCCUUCGUCCUCGAGGCGCGAGGGGAGACGGUGACCACCUCUUUCAACUUCCCCAGUUUCGAUUCCAGCCCCACAGACAUCACCUUCCUGGCCGAUGCCUCAUCCGCCAACGGAUCCCUAGAGCUCAACUUGAACGCCGGAUACAGCCUCGGCCGAGCCAUCUACUCGAAACCAAUCCGCCUCUGGGACAACGAAACCAAGAGUCUUGCAAGCUUCACCACAAACUUCUCUUUCUCCGUGAUCCGGCGUCCGAACACGACGGAUAACGGCGAUGGGUUAGCCUUCUUCCUCGCCCCCGUCGGCUACCCUAUUCCGGAGAACAGCACGGGUGGUUCAUUCACGCUCUUCAACCGCUCAUGUGUAGACCAACCCGCAAAGGUCCCCGUAGUAGCCGUCGAGUUCGACACCUUCCAAAACAGAGGAGAAGACGCGGCCCCCCAUGUGGGGAUCGACCUCGGCUGCUACAAGUCGAUUAGGAGCUCGAUUUGGGAGUCGCUCGAGGGUCAGACCAGUGUCACGAUCGACGCAGUGAUCACCUAUGAUGCAGGCACCACCACGCUGACAGCCUUCUUCUCCGGCAGGAGCGGCUACAUCAGGACCCUACCUUACGUCGUCGACCUGAGAAACGAGCUUCCCGAAAGGGUUGACAUUGGUUUCGCUGGCGCCACUGGUGAUUUCUUCGAACGCCAUGUGAUACAUUCCUGGAGCUUCAAUUCGAGCCUGGAUGUCGCCGUCCGUAACGGCAACACUACAAACGGAGGCGACGCGGGAGGGGGCGGCAUCAACGCUCCUCCGGACCCCCCUCCGAGCAAGAAGAAAAGCAGCAUCGGCCUACUGGCUGGUGUGCUUGCUGGCGCGGGAACCUUGGCAAUCGCAGCGGGUUUGGCACUCUUCUUCGUCCGGCGAAGAAGGGCAUAUGCCAAGAAUGGAGGACAGGACGACGUCAUCAACGACAGCGAACUUGACGAAGGCAAGGGGCCCAAGACCUUCUCUUAUUCGGAACUCGCCCGGGCAACAAGCAACUUUGCGCCAGAACAAAAGCUAGGAAGAGGAGGAUUCGGAGACGUUUACAGAGGAACCUUAACCCAGCCGAAAAUGGUGGUGGCCAUCAAAAGAGUGGCAAAAGACUCGAGGCAGGGAAAGAAGGAGUAUGUCGCCGAGGUGAAGGUCAUCAGCCGCGUGCGCCACCGCAACCUCGUGCAGCUCGUGGGGUGGUGCCACGAGAAGGGGGAGCUGCUUCUCGUCUAUGAGUACAUGCCCAACGGCAGCCUCGACGCCCGCCUCUACGGCGGUGGCAAUCCGCUGCCGUGGCCGACGAGGUACAGCAUCGCCCGGGGGGUCGCGGCGGCGCUGCUUUACCUCCACGACGAGUCGGAACAGUGCGUCGUCCACAGGGACGUCAAGUCGGACAAUGUGAUGCUGGACGCCAAUUUCAACGCCAAGUUAGGGGAUUUCGGCCUUGCGAGGCUCGUGGACCACGGCGGCGGCAUGGAGACGACGGCCGUGGCUGGGACGAUGGGGUACCUGGCGCCGGAGACCGCGACGACGGGGAGGGCGAGCAAGGAGUCGGACAUCUACAGCUUCGGGGUGCUGGCCUUGGAGAUCGCCUGCGGGAGGAGACCCAUCGAUCACGGCAAUAAAGAGGGACGAGUUAGUCUCGUCGACUGGGUGUGGGAUCUCUACGGGAAGGGCGCCGUUGUGGAGGGGGCGGACGAGAGGCUGGGCUCGGACUUCGACCGGCAGGAGAUGGAGCGGCUGAUGGUGGCGGGCCUGUGCUGCGCGCACCCGGACCACCGGCAACGGCCGUCGAUGCGGCAGGUGAUCGGCAUUCUCCUCUUCGAGAUGCCGUUGCCUGAUCUUCCGUCCGAGAUGCCGGACCCGUCCUACGGAGCGUUUUCGGUUUCAGGGUUCAAGUUGACCAGCAACAACGGGUGGUCAUCGUCUACGUCCGCGACCUCCGCUGGAUUCACCAACGGCGCCUCCGUCGAUUCAGCGGGGUCCGCCGUCUCCAAACGACUUCUGUUUCCGUCCGGCAGUUGAAUCAGUCGAAUUCAACUCUUUCGUUUUGUUUGUCUUUCACUCAGGAGUUGAGUACAGCGAGAGAGCGAGAUAUUUCUGUGUUAUUUGCACUUUCUUCCCAACUGUUCUUGCUGUAAAAAUCCCUGUAACCAAGGUUUCGAUCCUUGGAGCUUAGCUCCCUCGUCCUACUCAGUUGACGGUGGAUUCUCGCGGACCCAUUACCACGAUGUAUCCCGGCAUUUUCGUGAGGAUCCUGAAUAGAUCUGAUAGGAAGGAAAGGAUAGGUUCGGCCUCCGACGUCUGUCUAUGGCAUUCCUCCCACGGGGGCGGCACGUCACCCACCGCACCACGACGACCAUUCACGAGAACGCCGAUGGUCAGGCCAGGCGUCUGUUCACAUCUUUUGUCUACUCUGUUUCAUGGGUCCUGGGUGACUUCUUCACGUGUUCCCACCUUCCCUCGGACGCGGACGAAAUCCGGAGAAUCAGCUUGGACAUGAGAUCGAUUCAGCCCGUCCUAGUUUAUCUUCCCUUAAAGACGGUGUUUUACGUGGGUACUACUCCAUUGCUCUCCUGUCGGCGUAACAGGACUGCUCCUUACGCCAUCACCUCCCCCCCCCAAUUGGUAGCUCGCAAAUCGCAUACAACACCAGCAUCACUGGAGAUCCGAGUUCGAGUGCUGAGGGGACGCCACAGCUGGAUACCAUUCAUCCAGGGACCCAUCGUCCCUCCGGGGCUCCCCUUACUUUCCGGCCCUUGCCCAUCUCGCUAAGAAGCCACAGGCAGCUGGCCGGAUGGAAACUAGUGAAGCUGGUGAGAGCUGGCAUCUCAGCCAAUUGUUCCCCCGUCUGACUUCUGACUCGGUCCAUGCAUUACUUCGUCAUAAAGGUGUGCGAGAAUCGGGCCACAACCGGUCCUUUUCGCAUGUCGCGUCCUCUCUCUCUCCUCGGCAUGAAACGCCUCGUCAUCCUCCACCCAGCCGAUUCCCAACAACCUUUCCCUUCCAACAAUCUUUCACUUCAUCUCAUAAUAGAGAUCUUAAAUGAAAUGUCUGGUUAUUGUAUAAAUAGAUAAUAACUGCAUCAGGGAACUGUGACUUGUGACUGUACUAAAUUUCAUGUUUAUUCUUCAAAAAUUUCUCCAAGAGUUCAUUCGAAAUCACAUGUAUAUAUUUCAAAAUUCUUCUCUCUAAUCACUUUGAAAACCGAAUUAUAUAUUUCACUUUUUUUCACUAUUUAUUUAAAAACUCAAAAUAUUUUUUUAUUAAUUAAAAUACAAUUUUUAAAAUAUGAAAUCAUUUUAAAAAUAAAAUAAAUAUUAAUAUUCAUGAAAAAUUAUUCAUACUCGAUGUUUGACUUAAGACUCAUUUAUUCAUCCCCGAGACAAGUACCAUCAAAGAUUAACCAUAAAAAGUGAUUAAUAGUGGGUAUAAAAAGAAGAGCCAGUGAAAAGAAAAGAAUAUAGAAGUAGAUACAAGAGAUUGACCAUCUCAUAAUGAGUCCUUAUCUAGAAUAAUUUUACCAUCUCGUUGUCAACCACCCACCACUUUCAUUCCCUUGUUUUCAUUUUCUAUUCCAUUUGACUUAUGUCAGGUCUUCAAACUAUGUACCCUUCAAAGGAUUUUUAGGCCCUUAGUGAAAUAUUUUCCUAUGAAAAGUGAGUCACCUUUCUUCCACGUCUUGAGGCUGAUGAUAGACUAAAUGAUUGAAUGUUCAUAUGCAUGAGUGAAAGAUGAAGAUAAAGAGAUGAAGGAGGUGGAACAAUGUGGAUAAGAGAGACGAGGUAAGUGGUGAGUUUUGUUUUCUCAUAUUUGAAAGAUCUAAAACUAGAAAUCAAAUGAUUUGUAGAACAUGCUCUCAAAACAUAAUCUAUCUCUAAUUUUGAACUAAAAUAUAACCCUAGAUGAACGAGAAUUUUAACCACCAUGAAACUAACCUGACAUCAUCACUUCUUAUUCUAUAUUUCCACCAAGAGGCAUUCACUUGUAGUAGUGGGAGAGGCCUCAUUUAGGCAAGAUAAGCUUCCAUUCCUGUUGUAAUACACCUACACACAUGCAAAGUGAAGCCCUAGAAAACCUUUCCCCUCUAAGUAGGAACAAUGACCAUGGUUUUAUGUCAAUAUAUAAAGCAUUACCCUCACUCUCUCUCCUCUCUUCAUGUGAGAGAAACCACCAAAAGUUUCUCAUGCCUUCACACCUUUCUAAACAAUUACACACCAUUAGAUCAAUGGGUCUCCUCUCUCUAGUGUCUUCUACCAUUUGAUGGUUGGUUUCUUCAUCUAGUCACUUUUCUCUAUUAGAUUGAUGAACCCUUCUUUUGCCAUUAGUGCCUUUCUUAGCCAUUGGAUCCCUCUUGCCACUAAGGUCACUUGUUGUACACAAUGGCUAGAUUCCAACCACAUAUGGGAUGCCCUAGACUUGAGUAAUAAAUCAUUAAAAAUAUCUAGAGGAUAGUUAAUAAAAUAUUGAAACAUAAUGUCCAUUAUGGUUCUAUAUAAUGUCACAUCAAACAUAUAUGAAAGAAUAAUCCAAGAAAAUUCAAGAAAAUACUGGAAACAUUAAUAUACCUCUAAACAUAUUAAAAUCACACCAUUCACACCAUUGAGGUGAGGAAUUAAUAAAGAGAAUCCUAAAAAAUGUUAAACUAUAGAAGAUAAUGUGUGUUUCUAACCUACUAUUCAUGUUACUAGGGGUUCAUCAAAUGGAAUUAGAGCCACACAUCAAAUGUUGAAGAUGAUAGAACCUAAGGUAAACCUCCUUGAGAGAAGCUUGGAGAAAGUUCAUGAGGUCAAUACAACCCUCUAGCAAAACGCCAUGAUGCUCCUAAUGAAAGUCUCUUCCCUCUGUGAGGAGACCAGGGGACUUCGUCAACAACUAGAUCACAUUAUUUGAACACUAGACAACCUACAAAGUUGGGAGGAGCUUCAACAACUUCUUGAAUGAUUCAACACCACUCAAUCAAGCUUUCUUUGUCAUAAUUUCCUAAGCAUCAACUAGAAAGCCUUUAUUAUGGAAUACCAAGAGGAGUUCAAAAUGAUGGCUGGCAUAUUGGGUCACUUACCCAAACAUAUUUUUGAAAAUAUAAUCCUAAAAGGGUUACAUAAUGAAAACUAAGUGGAAGUCACACUUUUAGAACAAAUUGGGCAUAAAAAGUUGAAGCUAAAUGUCAUAGUAAUAAGAUCUUAUUAAAGUAGAAGAAAUCUCCACAAUUUCACUAUUGAAGCUCCUAACUAUUCCCUUCAACAUUACUUAAUUCUUGAACAAGACCCUCAAAGGAUAAUGAUCAACGAAGGACAAAGAUCUAACCUUACUAUAGGUGGCUCACAUGUCAAGGAAUGCUAGUGAAUACAUCUCACUAUAGUACAAAUUCAAUCCUAAUGAGCUCAGGGACUCUACUUCUCAUGUAACGAUAAGUUCUUUCUAGAACAUCUCUACUACUAAGAACAAUAGGUGUUGGUCAUCCAAGAAGGAUUUAUCUUUGAUAAUAGGGCCAGACUCCAAAAGACUACACGACAUCGUGGGAAGAUCGAGUAAUCGACACUAUGAAAAUCAAUAUAGUAAUUUUCACAUUUGACCUUGUAGACAAGAUAUGAUUCAAAGGGGAGAAUAUUGAUGAGACACUAGUUGAUCAAAGACAUCCCUAGAGGCUUAACAAAUGCCUCAACUACUUUACCAAUAGAGAUGUCAGCAAAGAUUAACUAGAGAUAUCCUCAAGAUAAGUGCCACUAGAGAUUAACCAUUGAAAUUGAUUAGCAAUAGUUAUGGUAAGAGGAGGAAGGUGAAGAAAAGAUUAGAGGAGUAAUAAUAAGAGAUUGAUCAUCUUGUAAUGAGUCCUUAUCAAGAAUAGUUCUACAAUCUUAUUGUUGAGUACAACCCCUUCCAUUCUCCUAUUUUCAUUUUCUCUUCCCUUUAACUUUUAUUAGGUCUCUAUAUCAUGUACCUUUCAAGGGAUUUCUAGGCCUCUAGUGAAGUAUUUUUCUCCAAAAUAAUGAGUCCCCUUCUUUUCAUAUAUGGGGGCCCAUUAUGACUAUAAAGGGAGGGGCUUCUAAAGGGCUAGACAUGAGGAAGAACAAAGUAUUACUGUUGAAAGAGGAGAGAGACCUUGGAAAAUGAAUUAAUCAAGGAGAGAGAGCAUACACAAUGUUUAUAGAGAGAGAGAGAGAGGAGAGAGAAUGGAUAAUGGGCCCUUAAUGGGCCAGGUGAGCUAUAUAACAAUUACUAUGCUCACAAAUUGCAUAUAGCACUUGCACCACUAGAGAUAUGAGUUCAGUGCUAAUGGUUUGUCCAUUAGUAUAAAAGUACCUCACAAGUUUAUGCUUCCACCAAUUUACACCUCACCUCAAAAAUUAAAAAAAAAUUCGUCACAACGAUACAUGGUUACCUUAUGACAUGUGUUACCAAGGUCAACCUUCAAGCACAAACCUUAAUAGUAACUAUGUGUCAUGGUCCACGAUGAUGUAUGACCCAAUAAUUGAAUAGUUAAUCUCAUACAAAAAUGAGAAUUAACUAUCAUAGGGAACAUGUAUAUAAUAGGAUACCCCAACCCUUUACACUGAAUACCUUGAAAGUUAAGUUUAUCUUUAUUGAUUACGGAUAACCUCUCUUGAUCACAUUUGGCCCACUUAGGUAAGAAAAAUAGCAUAGGCCAAUGAAUUAUUUGAAGCUAUACAAAUCUUUGUUACAUUCAUAUUAGAGCAAAGUUAGAUCCCCUUGCUUCUUUCCUUAUUUUUUUCUAUUGGUAGAAAGAUAUAGAUGUAGAAAAAAGUUGGGUGGAUAUGAGUGGUGCCCAUGAGUAAAGGUUCGCCCAUUUAGAUGAGUAGUUUGGAGGUGACAGUUGCGACUAUAGAAUCCUUCACUAGUAAGAUGUAGGCGGGGUGAAUCCCUAUAGAGAGAGAAUGCGGACAAUUCAAAAGAAGAAUGGAUCUAGGUAGUAACAACACUUAUUGAAGCCUUGUUUAACCAAAUAGAUGAGGACAUAAAAAAUAGAGACAUAAAAAAAAGAGAUAAAAAAUAAUGAUAUAUUUUUGCCUAAAAAAGAGAGAUCCUCCCUUCAUAAAAGAAAUCAUGAGGAAAUUAGAUCAAGUUUAAAAUUAGUUGGAGGCCAACUUUCAAAAAGUAGUGGGAGACCUCCAUAAGAAGGUUGUAGGUAGUGGGAGACUAUAAAAGCCUUACAAUUGAGCCCAAAUUUUAUGGUCAAAAGAGGGAUAUCAUAAUAAUUAGUAAUCUUUUAUGAGAUCUACAAUAGUAUUUGAAUGUUAACGCAUCUUUGAAAGAAGAGAAAAUUUUCCUAAGUAGUCUUUAUUAGUUAGGACAUGCUAAGACAUAAUAGUGACUAAGGAUGGAAGAUAACUCACAACUAGUAGUAGCAUAGUGAGAGUACUUUGCCAAGAAAAUGUGAGGGCAAUUUCAUAUAAUGAAUUGUGAAAAAUCCAUCAAAAUUAUCAUGAGAUAAUUAAAAUAUAUCAAAUUUAUCUGUGAGUAUGUUGAAAAGAUUGUCAUGAACAUAUGUAGUAGCUUGUGAUAGAUUUUUGAUCUCCUUUAUCCAAAAUAUCCAUAGUCGAAAUAGGCCUCAAUUUACAAACGACCAUGACAUGUGUAAAGGAGCCCCUUCUUCAAAGCUUAUUUGAUGUAUGCAAGUACUCAUAAAGCGCCCUUUCAAUGUACCUUGUGUGACUCCUACAUAAAUUGGUUAAGGACACUAAAAACAUCAAACUAUGUAAGGAUGAGUAACUAUCAAGUAGAUUAGUUUCCCUAAUAAACGUUGAUGUAUGUUAGUGUCUUCUACUAGAAGGGAAUUGUUCUAAAGCUUUGGCUGAUAUUCUAUUGAUGAAGAUUCUACUUUACACCCUAGUAAUUAUGUUUCUUAAAGGAGAUCUAAGGCAUACUUUUGUUGAGAAAGAGCUAGUUAUCUCGAUUGAUAGGCAAACUCAAAUCCAAAGAAGUAGUACAAGGCUUAAAGAUCAUUCAUCACAAAGUGCUAAUGUAACUACUCUUUUGUAGUAGAGAUGUCUACCUCAUCACUGUUUGUUAAAAGUAUAUCAUUAACAUAAACACCAAAACUACAAAAGUCCUCAAAAAUGGUCUUCCACAUCACAAUAAAAUCAACAACAUAUGGAGUGAAGCUAUAGGCAAUAAGGAGCUAGUUGAAUUUCACAUACUAAACUCAGAGACUCUAUUUGAGCCCAUAUAUGGCUCAUCGGAGCAAGCAUACUUGAGAAGUCUCCCUUUUAAUAACAUACCUUAGAGGUUGUUCCAUAAACACAUGUUCAUAUAAGUUGUCAUACAUGAAGACAUUAAAGAUAUUCAGUUGGUGUAAGGACUAACCCUAAUUAACUAUCUGAGAGAUAAGUACUCGAAUGGAGUUGAGACGAACCACUAAAGAGAAAGUUUUCAUAUAAUUGAUGUCAUAUGUUUAAGUGAAACCUCAAGCUAUUAACCGAGCAAAAGUGAUGAGCCAUUAUACCAUCAAGAUUAUAUUUAAGGUUGAAAACCCAUUUGCACAUCACAUGUUAGUAUUAGUUCGACGUAGUACAAGUUAUCAAGUACCACAUGUUAUUAAGGCACGAUACACAAGAUCUAUGGUCACUUUUCACUCAUGUACCUAAAGAGCUUCAAGAUACAUCUUGAGAAGUGACUUAGAAGAAAUAAAGAGGGCAAAAACAUAAAAGGUAGGGUGAAGGCAGUCAUAAGAGACAAAAUUAGUAAUGGGGUACUAAGUGUAAGUAUGUUUACCUUUGUGUAGGGCAAUUAGAAGAUGGAGGUCAUCUAAAGGUGGAGUAGUAAAGGAGUGUGUGGCCUAAUCUAGUACCAGAGUGGAGACAAUUGAGGGUAUAUCUUGUAUUAGAUCUUGUGAAGAUGACAUGAAUAGUGACACCAUAUGAGUGUCCUUGAUAAAAAGUAAUAUGAGGUUGUGAAGUACGAUUGGAAGAGAGUGGUGGAAAACCUAGAGGUGGAGAAGAAGACACUUGAGAAAGAGUAGUAUGAGAAGAAAAGAAGGGUCUGUCCUAAUGGAAAGUGAUAUCAAUUGAAGUGAUACAAUGAUGAGUAUCAAGGAAGUAUACACGAUAGCUUUUUUACGUAUGCAAGUAGUCAAUGACGACCCUCUUAAGGGCACGAGGAGUAUGAAAACAGAUAAAGUGUGAUCAUUGACGAAUGUUAGAUAGCCAAAUAUACGAGAAAAAAAAGCCAAAGAGAGUUGCCUUGGGGUAGAGAUGUUAGAGGGGAAUAUCUUCAUUUAGGGGGGAGGAAGGUAGACGGUUGUGUAGGUAGGUGGCCAUCAUGAGAGUAUUAUUGUACUAGAGAUAGUGAGGGACAUGCAUCUCAUUGAAAAGUAUGUGAGUAAUGUCUAGUAGGUGGUGAUGUUUCUAUUCUACAACACCAUUUUGUUGAGAGGUGUAAGGGCACCUGGUCUAGUGUAUAAUAUUACGAUCAACACAAAAGGUAGAGAGAACAAGUUGAACUAACUCCAGGGCAUUGUUAGUAUGAAGAAUCUUAGGGGUAAUAGAGUGUUGUAUCAUAAUCUUGAUGAUGAAUUAUAUGACAAUGUUAGGGACAUGAGAAUAAUUUUUCAUGAGAUAUAGCCAACAAAGAUCACAUAGUAGAGGUGGCAUAAGAGAGAAUUAACCUAAGAUAGGCACCAAACAUUACAAUGAACAAGGUCAAACUAGUGAGAGGACAAGAUUAUGUUGUGAGGAGAGUAGGUGGAGUGAUGAUGUUUGCUUAAUUGGCAUGACUCACACAUAAACUUAGAGAGAGAAAGGCAUAGUAAUGAUUUUUGAAGUUUUGAAAAAUAAGAAUGUCCUGAACAAUGAUGCCACAAAAUAGAUAAAAAAAAGUAGAAUGAGCAAACAAGAUAAGAAGACCCAAGGAUAGUGUCUUGGGGACAAGCUCAUAGAUGUCACUACCAUUCUCAUACUUCAAAUCAAUCCAUUGUCUUAUAUGUAGAUCUUGAAAAAUACAAAGAAAGAGAAAAAAUAUAAUAACACAAUUAAGUGUACAUGUGAUGGCACUAAUGGACAAGAGGUUAGUGGGAAAAUUAGGUACAUGAAGGACAUCAUGGAGGGGUAGGGAGGGUAUAUGUGUGGUCAAUCUAUGACCCUUAAUGGACAUAAAUGACUAUUAGCAAUGGAGAUAGGAGGAUAGGUAGAUGUAGGUUAAAUGAAGAUGGGGACAAAUAGUGUACCCAUCAUAUGGGCAAAUUCCCCCAAGUCGAUAAUCUAAGACAAUUUAGAAGUAAUAAGGACAUAUACUUAAAGUAGAGGUAAGACUGGCCAAUGUGAUAGUGUAGGACAAAAUAUCAUAUGUUUGCUUUCAUGUCUCAUAUUUGGCGAGAGAGAAUGACACCUAGAUUGUUAGAAUAGUAGGUGUCGGUGGAGGAACUAUAGAUGUAAUAGGAGUGGCUAUACGAGAGUAGGCAAUAGAUAUCAAGGCUUGUGUCCAUUUGGGUUUCCCAAAUUCUUUUCAACACUUGUUAGAAGGAUAGCUGGUCUUGACAUAGUAGGUACAUGGGGGAAAUCCAUUCUUAACCUUAGUAGAACUCUUGCCCUUAUUAUAAUUCUUGGGGCCAUGGCCACCAUGUGAUCCUAAUGCUACUGUUACUAGGGCCAAAGGAUAUGGUAGAGCAAAUGAGACAAAUGACAUAAGAAUGCUUAGGGGUACACCAAUAAUAACUCAAAAUGUUAAAGAGAAAAUGGAGGCAAUCGACAAUAUAUGACUACUAGAAAGUACUUGACGAUAAAUCUAGAAGGCAAUGGAUGGGUGAAAGCCAUUGAGAUAGGCAUCGACAAAUAGUUAUUAAUGAUAAUGCUCCAAGUGCAUAAAUCAGUUGUGGAGGGCUAGCGGACCAAUAACUUCUAGAUGAUGUUUUAGAGUUUGCCAAAAUACUCCUAAAGAGUUUGAUUGCCUUGCUUGCAUGCAAAAAAAGCUUCAUAAAGUUUGAUUGUGCGGUUGAUAUUGGUCUUAUUAAUAUACAUCAUCUCAAGUGUCUGCCAAAGGGCGCAUAGGAACUUGAUGUGAUCAAGAGGUUGAGCAAUACUUGGAAUAAUGUUUCAACACAUCUAUAUAAGAACUGUCAAGUCAAGUUGUGACCACAACACAUAAGUACAUGUCGUGGCUACCGGAGGUGAUGUUAGAUAAUGUAACAAAUUAUGAGCUUGAAAAAAAUUUUCAAAGCUAUAUAUGCCCACGAUCAAUAAUUGAAAUUGUCAAACACAUAUGCCAGCCAAGUUAGUGGGGCAAUAAUAGAGUGAUGGGUCGAUAGUAUUGGAUCAACUACAAGACAAACAAAGGGACUAGAAGAGGGAGAACUAGAAGUAACAAUUCGUCGAUAGAAUCUACCAUCAGGUUGGGGCACGUAAGAGAGCAACAAUCAAAAGAUCAGGACACUAAUAGAUGAGGGCCAGCUAAGGCUGUUAGGGUAGGGCACUAAGGUGGCCUAGGUAGCCACAUGAGUAGCUUGGGCCUAAAAUAAUUUGGACAGUAGCUUGGACUUGGAAUGGCCCAAGUGAAUGCCAAUACUAGAGCAACAAUUUUAGUAGUCAAAGAAGACGGUGGCUAUGGAGGCAAUGAGGGAAAUGAUGGUGGCGACGAUGAUAGUGGCAACAAAUUAGGAGGGAACCCUAGGACGAGCCAGUACACAAUAAGGUGGGGGGGCAGUCUCAUGGCUCUAGUGCCAUGUGGAAUGAAAAACCUUUAAUCCUGAGAUUACAAGAGCUUAUAUAAAGGAGAGAAGAAGAUGGGUCAUUGUUGGGCCAUACUCUUAUAGUACAUACCAAAACUCAAUAGUAAAAAUAUAUUUAAAUAAUAAUAGUCAAAGAGUCAAGUAGGUAUUUGUGGGUUGUUAUAAAAAGAAGGUCAUAAAGGUUAAGAACAUAUCUUUUCUAAGUCUAGAACCAGCUUAGAAGAUGUCAAGUUGGGACAUGUCUAUUUCUCUUUUUGAACUUGAUUUACAUACUAGGACUGAAUUAAGGCCAAAUUUGAAAUGAUUCUAGAUGACUUUUCCCCUCACCUAGUGCAUGUCUACAAGGGUCAAGAAGUCAAGAUGGAGAUUGAACUGAAGGUGAAGAGGAGGAGAUCCCCUCUUUCUCUCUCUCUCUCUCUCUCUCUCUCCCUCUCUCUCUCUCUCUCUCUCUCUCUCUCUCUCUCUCUCUCNNNNNNNNNNNNNNNNNNNNNNNNNNNNNNNNNNNNNNNNNNNNNNNNNNNNNNNNNNNNNNNNNNNNNNNNNNNNNNNNNNNNNNNNNNNNNNNNNNNNNNNNNNNNNNNNNNNNNNNNNNNNNNNNNNNNNNNNNNNNNNNNNNNNNNNNNNNNNNNNNNNNNNNNNNNNNNNNNNNNNNNNNNNNNNNNNNNNNNNNNNNNNNNNNNNNNNNNNNNNNNNNNCUCUCUCUCUCUCUCUCUCUCUCUCUCUCUCUCUCUCUCUCUCUCUCUCUCUCUCUCUCUCUCUCUCUCUCUCUCUCUCUCUCUCUCUCUCUCUCUCUCUCUCUCUCUCUCUCUCUCUCCUCUCUCUCUCUCUUGCUCUCUCUUCCCACCAACUUCAAUGGGGUUUUCUACUACUACCACAAGGCUUUUGUUCCACCACCAGGGCAAGAUACUCGCUCACUAUGUGUCCUCUUUUACUGCCACAAGCUCCUCUACCGUUGUUGCAUGCUUUCUUCCAUUGCCACUACAGAAUCCUCCUCGCCAUGCAUCCUCUUCUGCCACCACAGGCUCCUCCACCACCAUUGCAUGUUUUCUUCUCCUACCAUUGCAGAAUCCUCCCUUGUUGCGCAUCCUCUUCUGUUGCCACAAACUCCUCUAUUGCUACUACAUACUUUCUUCCACUGCCAUCGCAUAAUCCUCUCUCACUGUACUCCCUCUUUUGUUACUACAUGCUCCUUUGAGACCACUACAUGUUUUCUUUUGUGCCCACCACAAAAUCCUCUCUAGCCGUGAGUUCUCUUCCAUUACCACAAGCUCCUCUACUACCGGUACAUGCUUCUCUUCUGCCAACAAUGUAGAAUCCUAGCUAGUUCUGUGUCCUCUUAUGGCACAUGUUCCUCCUGCCACAAGUUAUUUGAUGUUUUUGUAUUUUUAAAUAUAACACAAUUAUAUAAUUAAAUGAUUUUAUUUAUCUUAAUUUGUAAUAUUAUAAUUAACUGUUAUGAUUUAAAAGUUAGUUAUAUUAUAGAUAAAUUAUAACAUAUAUAUAUAUCUUUAAAUGUAGAUAGGUCAUAGGUCUGAACUUAGUUCUAAGUUUAGGUCACAACUAAAAACUUAAUUGAGACUAUGACCAUUGAUCUCUAGUUAUAGCUGAAAACUUGGGCACAAAUAAAUAAUUUUGAUCUUAGAGGGGGGUAUAAUGUUAAAACACUAUGCUGCGGACUUCUCCUGGGAUCAUUAAUGGUCUAUGCCCACAGAACAUGUCCGAGGGUGACACCCUGCCUAAGUCAUGGGCCUGGGGUCCAGUACAGAGCCCAAGUGUCUGUGCAAAGCUAUUUGGAUCCGAUAUCGCGGAGCGGAUCUGCAACGGACCAAGAAGAUACACGGAGGGGAAGAUCCGGCGGAUAAAGUGACCGUUGUGGGCCGGAAAACCGCUCGACGCACGUUCUCCCGUUAUGGGCCAGAAAGAAGGUGGCGUGGGGGGUUUUUCCAGGCGGCCCAGAUCGUGGGUGGGCUGUUCCGACCUUCAGGGGGUGCACGAGAGUCUUUGCGUUGACCAUCACCAUUUCCGCGUAAUCUUGGAGAAGAAAGGUAGCUAGUGCUGGCGACGGGGGCCAAGGCCAGUCCGGGAACGAAUCCAGGUGAGUUCGAUCCUUGACCCGUGAUACAAGGCACAGGCCCACUCCUCCGGCCCCAUGCUUACCAAAAGAAGUGGUGGACAGGUGACUCGGCAGAUACGUCCAUAUUUCAGCCGACUGCGCUCAAAUUCCGAACGGCCACAGUCGCUGUGAUAGCCGCUAUACUUUCUCCAUGGUAGAAAUUUUGACGGUCAAGUCAAUGUCGGACCGUGUGGUCGCCGUCGUCCUUCUUCGGAAGCAUCACCAGAGCUAGCAUCGCCGCGUACUAAAGUGGCGCAGACGGAGAACUUGUUUUCUUGUCUAACUGGUUCAACUCACGGCAUCGCAGACCUUGCAGGAGUGAGUUCCGUGGUGGCCCUAACCCACCUCCUCGGAGCUUAUCCCUGAGCCAUGCCGCUGGGCACGCCCGCCGCCUCUUUGCUCCUCCUGCUCACCUUUGUCCUCAUGGCUGGAGCGGAGACGGUGACCACCUAUUUCGACUUCCCUACGUUUGGCUCUAGCCGCGACAUCACCUUCCUGGGCAACGCCUCAUCCACCAACGGCUCUCUAGAGCUCAACGAAGACGGCAGCUACAGCUACGGCCGAGCCUUCUACUCGAACCCGGUCCGUCUCUGGGACAACAAAACGGGGAAUCUGGCAAGCUUGAUCACAAACUUCUCCUUCUCGGUGAUCCAGAGUCCGAACAGUACAUAUCACGGUGAUGGAUUAGUCUUCUUCCUCGCCCCCAUCGGCUACCCUGUACUGCAGAACAGAUUGGGUGGCCUAUUCACGCUCUUCAAUAGUAGUGACGAAUUGGUCAUGUCCCCCGUGGUAGCCGUCGAGUUCGAUACCUACUCAAACGAUUGGGAUACGGAGGUCGCCCAUGUGGGAAUCGACGUCGGCCACAUCGACUCCGUCAAAAGCUUGUCUUGGGAGUCGUUCGACUUCCCGACCAUCGACGCAGUGAUCUCCUACGACGCCGGCACCACGGAGCUGAGAGCCUCCUUUUCCGACGGCAACGGCUACAACAAGACCUUAUUUUACGUCGUCGACCUGAGAAAGGAGCUCCCCGAAACUGUGAACAUCGGCUUCGCGGGUGCCACUGGCAGAUACUUCGAACGCCAUGUGAUACAUUCCUGGAGCUUCAACUCAAGCCUGGAUGUUGUCGACCGUAACGGCAACACUACGAACGGCGGCGACACCGGAGGGGGCACCAUCACGGCUCCACCGGUCCCCCCUCCGAACAAGAAGAAAAGCAGCAUCGGUCUACUGGCUGGUGUGCUAGCCGGCGCGGGAACCUUGGCAAUCGCAGCGGGUUUGGCACUCGUCUUCGUCUGGCGAAGAAGGGCACAUGCGAAGAAUGGAGGACAGGACGGCGUCAUCAACGACAGCGAAUUUGACGAAGGCAAGGGGCCCAAGAGCUUCUCUUAUUCGGAACUCGCCCGGGCAACAAGCAACUUUGCGCCAGAACAAAAGCUAGGAAGAGGAGGAUUCGGAGACGUUUACAGAGGAACCUUAACCCGGCCGAAAAUGGUGGUGGCCAUCAAGAGAGUCGCAAAAGACUCGAGGCAGGGAAAGAAGGAGUAUGUCGCCGAGGUGAAGGUCAUCAGCCGCGUGCGCCAACGCAACCUCGUGCAGCUCGUGGGGUGGUGCCACGAGAAGGGGGACCUGCUUCUCGUCUAUGAGUACAUGCCCAACGGCAGCCUCGACGCCCACCUCUACGGCGGUGGCAAUCCGCUGCCGUGGCCGACGCGGUACAGCAUCGCCCGGGGUGUCGCGGCGGCGUUGCUUUACCUCCACGACGAGUCGGACAAGUGCGUGGUCCACAGGGACGUCAAGUCGAGCAACGUGAUGCUGGACGCCAAUUUCAACGCCAAGUUAGGGGAUUUCGGCCUUGCGAGGCUCGUGGACCACGGCGGCGGCAUGGAGACGACGGCCGUGGCUGGGACGAUGGGGUACCUGGCCCCGGAGACCGCGACGACGGGGAGGGCGAGCAAGGAGUCGGACGUCUACAGCUUCGGGGUGCUGGCCUUGGAGAUCGCCUGCGGGAGGAGACCCGUCGAUCACGGCAAUAAAGAGGGGCGGGUUAGUCUCGUUGAGUGGGUAUGGGAUCUCUACGGGAAGGGCGCCGUUGUGGAGGCGGCAGACGAGAGGCUGGGCUUGAACUUUGACCGGCAGGAGAUGGAGCGGCUGAUGGUGGCGGGCCUGUGCUGCGCGCACCCGGACCACCGGCAACGGCCGUCGAUGCGGCAGAUGAUCGGCAUUCUCCUCUUCGAGAUGCCGUUGCCUAAUCUUCCGACAGAGAUGCCGGAGAUAUCCUACGGAGCGUUUCCCGUUCCGGAGUUCAACAUGACCACCAUCAAGGAGUUGUCGUCUACGUCGGCAACCUCCGCCAGAUUCGCCACCGGCGCCUCCGUCGAUUGAGCGGGGUCCGCCGGGUACAAACCAGCCCUUUAUCCGCUCGACAGGUGAAUCAGUCGAAUUCAACGCUUUCGUUUUGUUCAUCCUUCUCUCAGGAGCUAAGUACAGCGAGAGUGCCAGAUGUAUCUUCUGUGUUCUUCCUGUAAUAAUCCCUGUAACGAAGGUUUCGAUCCUUGGAUCUUAGCUCCUUUGUCCGCGUCAGUUGACUGUGGGUUAUCGCUUGACUCAUGACCAUGAUGCAUCCCGGCAUUUCCGUGAGGAUCCAGAAAUGGAUCAGAUGGGAGGAAAGGAUAGGUUCGGCCUCGGACCUUUGUCCAUCGCCUUCCUCCUACCGGGGCGUGUCGUCACCCAGCCCACGACGACCAUUCCCCGAAGCUCAGGCGUCGGUUCACAUCUCUUGUCUGCUCUGUUUCAGUAGUCCUCGGUGACUUCUUCCCCCGUUCCCACCUUCCACUCGGACGCGGACGAGAUCCGCAGAAUCAGCUUGGACAUGAGAUCGAUUCAGCCCGUCUGAGUUUAUUUCUCUUUUAGAUGUUUUUUUACGUGGGUACGACUCCCUUACUCUCCCGUCGGCCUAACAGAACUUAAAUAUCUAAUUCGUCACAACGACAAAGGGUUAGCAUACGCCAUGACUGGGGCCGCGCAUCUACCCAUAUUCCACGGAGAGGACCGGUCCUCCCUCCGGGGCUCCCUUUAUUUUUCGUCUCUUGGAUCCCUCGCUGACCCAUCACGCCGGUGGAUCGUCUUCCUAGCCCCGAGUUUCUUAGUCGUUUAUCUCUUGUACUGGGACGAGGCCGCCGGGUCGCCGGGCCGCCGGUUGGAUGGAAACGGAUGGAGCUCGUGGGAACCGGCUUCUGAGCCAGUCGGUAAAGAGGGGUGGUGGCACCGGUUAGACCGAAACUGCAUCUCAUGCACCUCGCCUUUUAUGCCGCGGAGGAAGAUGAAGGAACCAAAACCGAAACAUCCAGGCGAUAAGAGGGCGAAUAAGAAAGUCAGGAGGCUCUUCUCACCGCCGCAUCAGAUGCCUCAAGCGAGAGCUUUUCCGCAAACUCGUAUCCCCUCUUUCUUUCGUUUGGCCUACGUGACUGUGUAAGCAAAGAAAGCCAAUGAAGGCUUACGAAUGUCGGAAGGAGUUGACCCCACACGGUAGGUGUUUUCCGAUCGACGAUGCGGUGUGUACGGCGGUGGGCACGCACCCCCCAGCCUUCGCGGGAAAAUGCCGAGCUUCCCCCCGCCGGGGGCCCUCCCAUGCAGCUCCAGUUUUCCCCCACCUCCUGCGUCCCUCUCAAUAAUCCCCUCCACACCUGUCUCUCUCGGCGAUAUUUCGUCAUUCAUAAACUACAUAAAAAAAAGCUUCUUUUUUUUGUCAUUCGCUCCCUAUGGGUGAUAAGAUUAUUUUGGCUACCGGGAGUUUGGCCAGUGCAGUCGCAGGACGCGCAAUGACCGUAAGGGUCAUUGGACGCGCGAUGACCAUAAAGGUCACCGGACGCAUGAUGCCGGAAAUGGCUACAAUGCCGUCUGCGGUCACGAGAUGUGACACUGCCGCCAGCAAUGGCGAUAAUGGGCCGUAAUGGGCCAUGAGCCGCAAUGGGCCAUGCACCGUCUACGGCAUCAGGAUAACCCCAUGACAUGAUCCACCACCGCCAGCAAUGGCGAUGAGGGGUGGAGCACUACGAUUGGCAUGUGAAGCCACCUAGAUGGCAGGAGGGCUGAGGUGGAAGCCACCAUCUUCACGGUAGCCAGCCACCACUUGAAUGGUUGGAGUGCCGCCAUUAUGGCGAGCAACUUCUCUCCUGAAGGGCCAUUUUAGGGCACUCAAUUACAACUACGGUAAUUGCAUGGGAUGGCCACACCUCGUCGCUUGUGACGGCCCAUGCUUCACCUUCUAUUACGGCUCACGCCUCAUAUUUUUGAUGGCCCACGUCUCAUGGCACAUGAUGGCUUAGGCCUUAUUAUCUGUCAACUUGAAUGAUUGUCCUAAGAAUGAGAUAGAAAAAGAACAAAUGGAUGACAUCCCAUAUGCCUCAGUUGUUGAGAGCUUAUGUAUAAACAUGUACCUAUCCAGAUGUCACAUAUGUUGUUGGGAUACUUGGUAGAUAUCAAAAUAACAUAGGCCUAUAACAUUAGAAGGUUACAAAAAAAAGUUAUACAUUAUUUACAAGGCACUAAGGAUCACUUGCUCACUUAUAAAAGAUCAGAUCAUCUUGAGGUCAUUGGCUAUUGAGAUAUAAAUAUUGGAGGCUAUCUUGAUAGUAAAAAAUUUACUUUAAGUUUCAUUUUUCUACUAAGAUGUCGAGUCAUUUCAUAUGAGUAUAAAACAAACCACUAUAGCUUCUUAUGUUAUGGAAGUUAAAUUUGUUACCUUCUAUGAGACCUCAUCAUAGGCAAUAUAGAUAAAAAAAUUUUAUCACAAGUCUUAAAAUGAUGGAUUCAAUUCAAAAACCACUUAAGAUCUAUUGUGAUAAUGAAGUUGAUGUUUCUUUCUUUAACAACAACAAAAGUUUCACUUCAUGUAGGCACAUGGAAAUAAAUUAUUUUGUUGUUAAAGAAAUAAUAGAUAUUCAUUUGGUGUCUACUACUCAUAUUGGUAUACAUGACAUAUUAGUAGACCCACUUACUAAAGGAUUGACGCCUAUAUUAUAUUUCAAACAUGUAAGGAACAUGGGUCUAUCCUUUAAUGUCUUAUUUUGAUAGAUCUUACAAAAGUAAUGUUUUAUUUUGAGACAUCAAGUAUUUGUGAACAUAUUUUGGUAAAUAUUAUGAUUCUUUGGGUUCUACUUUCUAUAUCAAGUAUUUAUAAAUAAAUUAAGUAAAUAAAGAGUUAUAUUUUACCAAGGGAAUAAGAAUGUGGUUAACUUAUUCAUAAAAGUCGUUGUCAUAUAAAGUAUUGGUAAUUAAAGAAUAUUGACAUAGUAAUAUAGAGAAGAUAACAUACACUCAAGUUUAUCUAUCGCUAUGACUCAUGUCUCUAUUUAAUCAUGACAAAGUAUAAAAUUACCCACAUAAAAAUGAGAUUAGUUGUGGUACCAUGUCAAAACUUAAUCUAAUAUCUUUUGUGUCUUGUAUUCUAUAUGUCUAUUAUCUUGUAGAAUAAUGAUUAUGGUAUAAUAGGCCAAGUGAGAGAAUGUUGGCCCAUAAGUGGCCCAUUAGCAUAAUAACUACUCAUAAUAACCACUCCUAUAACUACCUAUUGGCUACCCUCAUUUGGGAAACAACACACACCCUAUAUUUAAGAAGAAUCCUUAUUUCAGGAGAUGAGGAAGACACACAGCUCUCUCUCUCUUCUCUCUUCUCCUCAUUCUAUUUGAUGAGAACAUAACCUUUAGUGCUCUAAGAGCUUAGUACUCUUCUCCUUAGUACAUUAGUCUGUCAUCAAGUAGCAUCCUACAGAGAAGGGAUAUCAAAGUGUCUAUCUAUUUGGGAAGACAAAUAUAUCCUUUCUCUUACACUACAAUUUCCUGUGAACACUUGAUACACAAUGUCUUCAUUAGGUGAGUAACCCAUCAUAUAAAAUAGAAUAAUAAUUAUUAUUAAUAUAAUGUUGUUAUUCCAAUAUGGUGGCCAUUUCACUCUCUUCCCAAAGAACAACAAAAGCUAGUCGGGUAAGGCCUUUGGUAGCUGUCAAGUUCAACGCCCACAAAAACGCAUAGGAUAUGAAGGACGCCCCCCAUGUAGGGAUCGACGUCGGCUACAUAACGUCCGCAAUAAUCUCGGAUUGUGGGUCGAUCUCCGGCCAGAACAGAACCACGAUCGACGUAGUGAUCACCUACGAUGCUGGCACCACCAUGCUUAAAGCCUACUUCUCGAACAUGAAUGGCACGGACCAGAGCUUGGCUUACUACGUUAACCUGAGCGAGGAGCUUCCCGAGAAGGUUAACAUCGGCUUCGCGGGCGCCACUGGUGCAUACUUUGGACGCCAUGUGAUACAUUCCUGGAGCUUCAACUCAAGCCUGGAUGUUGCCGUCCGUAACGGUAACACCACAAACGGCGGCGAUGCCGGUGGGACUAAGAAGAAAAGCAACAUCGGCCUACUGGCUGGUGUGCUAGCCGGCGCGGGAACCUUGGCAAUCGCAGCGGGUUUGGCACUCUUCUUCGUCUGGCGAAGAAGGGCACAUGCGAAGAAUGGAGGACAGGACGGCGUCAUCAACGACAGCGAACUUGACGAAGGGAAGGGGCCCAAGAGCUUCUCUUAUUCGGAACUCACCCGGGCAACCACCAACUUUGCGCCAGAACAAAAGCUAGGAAGAGGAGGAUUCGGAGACGUUUACAGAGGAACCUUAACCCGGCCGAAAAUGGUGGUGGCCAUCAAAAGAGUGGCAAAAGACUCGAGGCAGGGGAAGGAGUAUAUCGCCGAGGUGAAGGUCAUCAGCCGCGUGCGCCAACGCAACCUCGUGCAGCUUGUGGGGUGGUGCCACGAGACGGGGGAGCUGCUUCUCGUCUAUGAGUACAUGCCCAACGGCAGCCCCGACGCCCACCUCUACGGCAGUGGCAGUCCUUUGUCUUGGCCGACAAGGUACAGCAUUGCCUGGGGGUUUGCGGCGGCACUGCUGUACCUCCACCAGGAGUCGAAGCAGUGCGUGGUCCACAGGGACGUCAAGUCGAGCAACGUGAUGCUGGACGUCAAUUUCAACGCCAAGUUAGGGGAUUUCGGCCUUGCGAGGCUCGUGGACCACGGCGGCGGCAUGGAGACGACGGCCGUGGCUGGGACGAUGGGGUACCUGGCGCCAGAGACCGCGACGACGGGGAGGGCGAGCAAGGAGUCGGACGUCUACAGCUUCGGGGAGGAGACCCAUCGAUCACGGCAAUAAAGAGGGGCGGGUUAGUCUCGUUGACUGAGUUUGGGAUCUCUACGGGAAGGGCGCCGUUGUGGAGGGGGCGGACGAGAAGCUGGGCUUGGACUUCAACCGGCAGGAGAUGGAGCGGCUGAUGGUGGCGGGGCUGUGCUGCGCCCACCCAGACCACCGGCAACGGCCGUCGAUGCGGCAGGUGAUUGGCAUUCUUCUUUCUGAAAUGCCAUUGCCUAAUCUUCCGGUCCAGAUGCCGGAGCCGUCCUACGGAGGGGUUUCCGUUUCUAGGUCCAACCUGGCCAGCAUCAACUGGUGGUCGUCGUCUACUUCGACGACCCCCAGCGGAUUCACCACCGGCACCUCCAUCGAUUCAGCUUGCUCCACUGGCAGCAAACCACUUCCGUAUCCGCCCGUCAGGUAAAGCCGUCGAAUUCAACGUUUUCGUUUUAUUCUUCGAUUUACUCUUGGCUUGUCUUUUCAGCCGGUCGUCGCAUUAACCGGUCCAACGACUGGGUUGACCAUCUCUCAUCAAAACGGCCGUCGACCGACAGAUCUCAGUGCACGCUCCAACUCGCCCUUUAACAACCACUCGGUCCUUCGAGGUGUUAAUAAGUAGAACCUCUUCUUCUCUAUUUGAGUGUCCUAUUUGACAGUUGUGAAGAGAAGUUCAAGGUAGAUAUCUAAGGGUCUAAUCGGAGUUUUGAAGGCCAUGGUUAGAUAACUAUUUUCUCAGUUCUUGAUGAGAAUUUUCUUGUGAUCUUAUCAUAUCUAACUAAAGCUUUCGUCAUUGUUAUUCGUAGACAAAAGAAGCAGUCUAUGGAACCAUGUUAAAGUGUUUUAUGCUUGUACCCUAUUAUGAGUUGAUCACCCUUCCUUUUCGAUACUUCACAUCGUGUAGAUUGCAUAAACAAUAUUUUGCUAGUACUCUACUAUGAGUUUUGUUCACCUAUUUUGUUUGCUUUAUUUCAUUAGUCCUAGGUGAGUUCAUGACUCCUCCACACCUUUCACUAGAACAUGGACCAGAUCUGCAGAAUCGACUAAGAGAGGAGAUCAAUUCAACCUAUCUAAGUUGAUCUUUUCUUUCAUAUCAGCUUUUAGGUGGCUGUGACUCCCAACUCUCUCUAGUGUAAAAGGAUUCCUCUCGUUUACCCUUAAAAUUCACAGGCAACACUACUGUGGAUUUGAGUUUGGCAAGAGGUGAACUCAAUGAGCUCCAAAAGAGUAAAAGGAAAAUAUGCUGUAAGUAGGGAGAAAGUACAUCCAGAUAUGAAGGAGAAGAGGGCUGGAACAGAGGAUGGACGGGAGUUUGUGGAACAAAAUAAGCCCUCAAAAUUAAAUGUCUUGAGUUGUUUACAACCAAAUAGAGAGGGUUUUAUGUGAAAGUAGACAACUUAAUUCAAAACUGAUUAAAAACAAAAAAAGAAGUAAGGAACGGAGCAAAAGAAGUAGACAACUUCUCCAUGCUCAUCAUGUUGAUAGACUCCUAAGUACCCAAGUCCCUUGUCGCUAGAAACGGAGCAAAAGAAAGGAACGGAUUGCCCGAGCAGAAGACCAGCGCCCAACAUGAGUAAGUUUUGGGCCAGAAAUGAUGGGCCCAGAUAGAGGGCUUGGGCUGGUUAAGGCCCGACCAGCCAACAGCCAACUGUCACAGCGACAGUUUAAAUACUAGAGGAAGAGAUCAAGCGGGAGGAGAGAAAAAUCAAGAUUCUUCUACCCCAUCUACCUCUGCAUUUCACUCUCUGUCUCAGUCUCUCUCUCUCUCUCUCUCUCUCUCUCUAUCUCGCUCUCUAUCUCCUCUCUCUUUCUUUCGUCAUGAUCUCUGCUAGAUCUGCUGUUCAUCAACAUCCCUGCUGCCUGAUUCUUAACCCCCUUCUGCAUUGUCUUUCCGGAGUUCGGAAAUGAUUGCUCUCGAGAGCAGGAACUAGUAAUUCUGGUAUUUCAAGAAAUUGAGAAAGGUGAUUGCGUACGUAAUACUUCUUCUUGUUCUCUGAAAUUCUUGUGUCUAAAAUGUUACUAUCUUAUUUUGAGUGAAUUUCUUGAUAUCCUUCUGUUCUAUCUUUGAAUCAUUGAUUGAACUUCAACCGUUCCUUCCAAAUUUAUAUUGAUUCUGAGGAAUAUAAAAAAAGGAGAUCCUAUCACGUCUUAUAGGCAAGUUUGCAUCAAUUUCAUUUAUAUCAUGUCCAUAGUAUUGGAAAGGCAGCAGCUGGAUGGCGGGCAGCGGUGGAAAUAGUCGGACGGAAGAAGUGGUGGCAGAUGGAUAUUGGCCCUCAGGACCUCUCCUUCGGAGCGAAGAUGGUUGACCCUCACGGCCUCUCCCUCAUGGAGCAAAGACAGGUAAUUCCUCAGAAUAAUCAUUUAUCUGGAGAUGGUCGCAAGACCUCGCCGCUCCCAAUUAGAAGCUCUACCUUUGUCUCUAUCUGGUCGUUGUCGCCAUCUGUCGUCGCCUCCACCACUGCCUUCGCUGCCACCGCCAUCUUCCUCGUCUUCUGCCGUCGCCUUCUUCCUCGUCGUCCACUACCAUAGGGGCACGAGACAACUCUCUCUAAGGAACUCGGCAAAAAUAGCCCCCUAACUUCGGGAGAAGGGGUGCCUACUCACAAAGGGGUUUGCAGUGACCAGGCCUGGGCGACUGCCGCCACUAUUUUGUAUAUGUCCGCUUCGGCCUCCGACACUCUUGGUCCGCCACUAUCUCCACCUUCAUUGCCGUCGCCUCCAUCCCGUCGCCGACCACCUCAUCGCCGCCGCCGGCUGUCCAAGAUCAACCCCAUUCUGUCGUCGCCGCCACCAUCCCUUCCCGCUUCUUCCACUGCCAUUGUCGCCCUUCCCAACCUUUGUUCCUCUGGUGAUCUGUUCCGCCUGUUUCUUUCCCAAUUAGGGCUUAAAGGCCCCGAUUCGUGGGUCCCAAUCUACUGGUUGAACACAUUCGGUGAUCCCGACCAGGCCACCCUCCGAUGCGAGCCCCAUUGGUCUGAACGAACCCGCCACAGGUUCGAGCCAACGUGGACAAUUGGGUCCACGUCGUUCUCUCGCGCCAGGCCGAGCCAUUCUGACCAUCCGGUCCACGUCGGGCAUCCCGUCCAGCUGGAGUCAAGACUCAAUCAAAUUUCUACGACAUAGUGAACGAUCAAUUAUUUAGGCAAGGGUCAACAGCGUGGGCAAAAAGUCAACUAUUAAUAUUCUGCAACCAAUAGUCUCUCUUCUCAGUCCUUUCCAAGGUAAGUAGUUCUCACACAUCAUAUAUCUCUGCUCAUUUAAUAUAUUUUUAUUGCGAUUGUCCGAGGGUGACUAUAGUAUAACCAUAUGUUUCUGAGUUUAAUGAGCAUAGUAUAACGACUCGUGACUUUUCUGAGCUACCCGAUCACGGCUGUCUUUGUCGAAAUACGGCCAUCAUGAGGGCCCUCGGCCGUCAACCCUGUGCGAAGUAAUAUACACGUCACACCUCAGCUUUCCUCCUGGCCGUGGACAGCGUAGAUGUCAACGCGGACAGGCCACAUGCGUUGAAUGCAACUAAACGUGUUCAAAUCAAGUCCCCCGGGUACCCCGUCAAUCUUCAUUUCUGUAAAGAUUUCGAGGAUCUUACCGUGGAAAAAGUAGAAGCUCAACGAACUAUCCCCCACCGCAAGAAGCGGUUCCUAGUGGCCACCGCAGGGUUGGUUGAUGAUCCUCGCCGUCCUGCGGGGAAAAGACCUCGCGACUUAACUCAACCCGAAGAAUCGGACCCCUGGUCCUCCUCGAGGACGAUGGAAGCUUCGUGUGGCGGAUCCGGGAGGUCAACGUCGGGCUGGAUGGUCGCCACCUCUCUUGAAAGCCUCACCGGAACACGCGUAGACCGAAGCGAUUAUCGCUCAUUAUUUAGGGGCGCCGCCACCCACUCGCCCAAUACGAGGAGCGCUCGAAUUUAAUAAACGAGCGGUUACUGUCACGAUAACAAGGCCGAGAACUUACAAAAUGUUUCAUAGCCAGAGUGCCGUGACGGCUUUCGCACCUUACAGCGGCCUUGUGGAGGCCCCAACCCACCUCCACGGAAAUCAUCCCUGAGCCAUGCCGCCCGGCGCCUCCAUCACCUCUUUGCUCCUCCUGCUCACCUUCAUCCUCAGGGCUGGAGGGGAGACGGUGACCACCUCCUUCGACUUCCCCAGGUUCGCGUCCAGCCCCGCAAACAUCACCUUUCAGGGCGAAGCCUCAUCCGCCAACGGAUCCCUAGAGCUCAACAAGGACGGCGAAUACAGCUACGGCCGAGCCAUCUACUCCAGCCCAGUCCGUCUCUGGGACAACAAAACCGGGAAUCUCGCGAGCUUCACAACAACUUUCUCCUUCUCCGUGAUCCGGCGUCCGAACGCGACGAAUUUUGCUGAUGGGUUAGCCUUCUUCCUCGCCCCCGUCGGUUAUCCUCUCUCGGAAAACACCACAGGGGGCGAACUCACCCUCUUCGACGGCUACUUCUCAACCCGACCGCCUAAGGUCCCCGUAGUAGCCGUCGAGUUCGACACCUUCCAAAACGAAUGGGAUAAGGAGGUCACCCAUGUGGGGAUCAACGUCGGCUACAUCGAGUCCGUCGAUAGCUUGCCUUGGUGGUCGCCCGAUGGCCAGACCCGUGCCACGAUCGACGCAGUGAUCACCUAUGACGCUGAUACCACCAGGUUGAGAGCCUCCUUCUCCGAGGUGAACGGCGACAACAGGAUCUUGCCUUACACCGUCGACCUGAGAAAGGAGCUUCCCGAGAGGGUGAACAUCGGCUUCGCAGGCGGCACAGGCCUAUACUUCGAACGCCAUGUGAUACACUCCUGGAGCUUCAAUUCGAGCCUGGAUGUUGCCAUCCGUAAUGGCAACACUACCAACGGAGGCGACGCGGGAGGGGGCAGCAUCAACGCUCCUCCGGACCCCCCUCCGAGCAAGAAGAAAAGCAGAAUCGGCCUACUGGCUGGUGUGCUAGCUGGCGCGGGAACCUUGGCAAUCGCAGCGGGUUUGGCACUGUUCUUCUUCCGGCGAAGAAGGGCAUAUGCCAAGAAUGGAGGACAGGACGACGUCAUCAACGACAGCGAACUUGACGAAGGGAAGGGACCUAAGAGCUUCUCGUAUUCGGAACUCGCCCGGGCAACCACCAACUUUGCGCCAGAACAAAAGCUAGGAAGAGGAGGAUUCGGAGACGUUUACAGAGGAACCUUAACCCAGCCGAAAAUGGUGGUGGCCAUCAAAAGAGUGGCAAAAGACUCGAGGCAGGGAAAGAAGGAGUAUGUCGCCGAGGUGAAGGUCAUCAGCCGCGUGCGCCACCGCAACCUCGUGCAGCUCGUGGGGUGGUGCCACGAGAAGGGGGAGCUGCUUCUCGUCUAUGAGUACAUGCCCAACGGCAGCCUCGACGCCCACCUCUACGGCGGCGGCAAUCCGCUGCCGUGGCCGACGAGGUACAGCAUCGCCCGGGGGGUCGCGGCGGCGCUGCUUUACCUCCACGAGGAGUCGGAGCAGUGCGUGGUGCACAGGGACGUCAAGUCGAGCAAUGUGAUGCUGGAUGCCAAUUUCAACGCCAAGUUAGGGGAUUUCGGCCUUGCGAGGCUCGUGGACCACGGCGGCGGCAUGGAGACGACGGCCGUGGCUGGGACGAUGGGGUACCUGGCGCCGGAGACCGCGACGACGGGGAGGGCGAGCAAGGAGUCGGACGUCUACAGCUUCGGGGUGCUGGCCUUGGAGAUCGCCUGCGGGAGGAGACCCAUCGAUCACGGCAAUAAAGAGGGACGAGUUAGUCUCGUCGACUGGGUGUGG